GAUGAAGAACGUAGCGAACUGCGAUAAGUAAUGUGAAUUGCAGAAUUCAGUGAAUCAUCGAGUCUUUGAACGCUCAUUGCGCCCCCUGGCAUUCCGGGGGGCAUGCCUGUCCGAGCGUCAUUGCUGCCCUUCAAGCCCGGCUUGUGUGUUGGGUCGUCGUCCCCCCCGGGGGACGGGCCCGAAAGGCAGCGGCGGCACCGCGUCCGGUCCUCGAGCGUAUGGGGCUUUGUCACCCGCUCGAUUAGGGCCGGCCGGGCGCCAGCCGGCGUCUCCAACCUUCUAUUUUACCAGGUUGACCUCGGAUCAGGUAGGGAUACCCGCUGAACUUAAGCAUAUCAAUAAGCGGAGGA
rnacentral:misc_RNA from 1 species